UGCUCAGGAUGAACGCUGGCGGCGUGCCUAAUACAUGCAAGUCGAGCGAACUGAUUAGAAGCUUGCUUCUAUGACGUUAGCGGCGGACGGGUGAGUAACACGUGGGCAACCUGCCUGUAAGACUGGGAUAACUUCGGGAAACCGAAGCUAAUACCGGAUAGGAUCUUCUCCUUCAUGGGAGAUGAUUGAAAGAUGGUUUCGGCUAUCACUUACAGAUGGGCCCGCGGUGCAUUAGCUAGUUGGUGAGGUAACGGCUCACCAAGGCAACGAUGCAUAGCCGACCUGAGAGGGUGAUCGGCCACACUGGGACUGAGACACGGCCCAGACUCCUACGGGAGGCAGCAGUAGGGAAUCUUCCGCAAUGGACGAAAGUCUGACGGAGCAACGCCGCGUGAGUGAUGAAGGCUUUCGGGUCGUAAAACUCUGUUGUUAGGGAAGAACAAGUACGAGAGUAACUGCUCGUACCUUGACGGUACCUAACCAGAAAGCCACGGCUAACUACGUGCCAGCAGCCGCGGUAAUACGUAGGUGGCAAGCGUUAUCCGGAAUUAUUGGGCGUAAAGCGCGCGCAGGCGGUUUCUUAAGUCUGAUGUGAAAGCCCACGGCUCAACCGUGGAGGGUCAUUGGAAACUGGGGAACUUGAGUGCAGAAGAGAAAAGCGGAAUUCCACGUGUAGCGGUGAAAUGCGUAGAGAUGUGGAGGAACACCAGUGGCGAAGGCGGCUUUUUGGUCUGUAACUGACGC
rnacentral:rRNA from 2 species